rnacentral:lncRNA from 1 species
AGUCUUGUCAGCAUGAGAUUCUAUCUGUUAAAAUCGGAAUGACAAAAAAUAGAUCCAGAAAAUAAUUUAAUGCAGGAAACGAAAAAGAUAAGAAAAGAACACACCGAUAUUUACGUGGUUCGGCCAACGGCCUACGUCCACGGGCGAAGACGGAGUAGAUAAUUUAUUAAUGUCGAAAAGAUGGAGUACAAGAAAAUCUCUCAAAGAAUCCGAUAAAUU